UUUUGCAGUUGCUUUUUUUUUUUUACUGGCUUAAAUCCAAAUUGCAGUUUAAUUGCUAGUAGCUGAUUGGAGUUUGUUGUGUUUUGUGGUUUUUUUUGGUUUUGAUGGUAACAAUGCAGUGUUUGGGAGAUGAUGAAUAAAUGGACUAGAAGAUUGUCCCAAAUGCCGGAAGAAGUUAGAGGGGAAAUAGAACCUUAUUUUAUCGAGCAUGCUGCUAUCUUGGAUGAGGACAGCCGAAAACUGCCAAAGCUCAACGAUAACUCUGCGGAUUACAUGAGGCAAGAGUUCAUGUAAUACAUGAAUGGGCCUGGGCAGGUACUCCAAAUGAAGGGGCUGCUUGGCUCCAUUUGCAGAGACUAGCUGAUACAUGGCACAGGAUACUGUUAAUUCCAGUGACUGGAGGAGUUGUCAUUGGCAUGAUGCAUGGAUUACUUGAAAUUUUCGACCAAAUAAAGCAGCCAAGGUCUUCUCAGAGGCAGGGCUUUGAUCUGCUGCCUGGAGUCUUCCCUAGAAUAAAGGCCAUACAGGCUGCUGUAACAUUAGGCACUGGUUGUUCUUUAGGUCCUGAGGGAACCAGUGUUGAUAUUGGUAAAUCAUGUGCAAAUGGGUUGUUCUUUAGGUCCUGAGGGACCCACUCGCUGCCAUCCGAUUCAUUCUCUUCUUUCAGUAGACCCAACUGCUGAAGAAAUUCUGUUAGAUCGAUCUGAGGCCUCUCAUCCUGACCUGCCAAUAAUGGAUAUUCAGGAGGUCGGUUCUGGCUACUGCUGCUCUUCAGUUCUUGGUGCUUUUGAUGAAUGGCAUGAAAUGAGAAAGGCCCACCAGAAUUUGUUGAGUGAGUUGGCAGAGAUAGCUUGUGCAGGUGGAAAAUUAAACAGCUCCUUUGUCAUUGCAACAAUCAAGGGCCUGGGCUUUGUGUUAGAGCAAAUUCAGGUUUGCUUUGUUGCUUCUCUAAAGUACUUCUGUCAACAUGGAGGAGUAGGAGAUGAAAUGUAGUUUCUUCAUUGAAAUUAAAUUUACACACACAACUUGUUUUGGCCGGAGCUGAAGCGAGAAAUUAGCAAAGCAUGCAUACGGAUGAUGAAACCGUUCAUCAAGGGUCCAGCUUGGGUAACUAUCCUUUUUAUUUAUUGUGUUCUAUAUAUUUAAUUUGUUCUUUAUAUUCUUUGAAUUUGUAGCUAUGGUUCGACCAAGUGUGGUCUAAGGCGACUCUAAGCAUUUGAAGGAGUGCAAGUGAUCCAAGGUUGGAGUACAUACAGCGUUGCUGGGCAUGGUAUUAACAGAUUUGCUUCUAAGGUAACUUUGGUGGCAUUUCCAAAUGCCCUAAUGCCUGUAGCUUUCCUUCUGAAAAUUAAUGUAUUUUGGAUGAGUUCUAAAUGAUAAAACACAAGUUGAACUUAAGUUAGUGAUUCAUUCAUUUAAUUACAAUCAUUCAUUAUUGAAUGAAUGAUUGUAAUUGAAUGAAUGAAUGAUUAUGCAGGUGGUUA